rnacentral:rRNA from 1 species
UACGUAGGGGGCAAGCGUUAUCCGGAGUUACUGGGCGUAAAGGGCGUGUAGGUGGUUUCGUAAGUCUGGCGUGAAAUUUUUCGGCUUAACCGGGAAAGGUCGUCGGAUACUGCAGAACUAGAGGACGGUAGAGGCGUGUGGAAUUCCGGGUGUAGUGGUGAAAUGCGUAGAGAUCCGGAGGAACACCAGUGGCGAAGGCGACACGCUGGGCCGUACCUGACACUGAUGCGCGACAGCAUGGGGAGCAAACAGG